AGCAACUCAAGACUCAACUGUUGGCAGUUAAAAGUGGUGGAAGUAAUGCUGGUGUUCUGUGGUGUGGUGUGGUUGUUUGACGUUACUAGGAGGGCGAGCAUUCUAAAUGUGCGAUUACUUAUGGUGCUGAAGAAAAAGAGCCACAAUGAAAACAACAAUCUCGAAUAGCCCCAUAGUCGUCGUCGUCGUCGACGACGUGGUUGCCGCCGUUGACGAUGACAAAGGCGUGUAGAUAAGAAACAGAAGCGAACACAAAGCACACAGAGCACACAAUCGUUGUGUACCUUCAUGCAUGUUGACUAAACGUAGAGCGCUGGCUGGCUCAUGGUUCUUGGCUCUGGGCUGUGUCGUGGCACAGCACGGCACGAAACACGACGCAAUCAAGGGAGCAUAAUAAAAAUGCGGAGGCAAGACAGUGGUAGGUAUUGCAUUUAAGUGUAGUGUGUGAAGUUGUGCGGCUUCAAAGCGAUUUGACAGCGACGAACGACAGAACAAACAAACGGGCGGCCGGAUGGCCGGUCGGACGUGACCGACUGUCGCGGUAGAAGCUUUGAACGACGACAUCGAAAACACAAACACCGGGGUUUGCUGGGUUGAGUUGCUCGGAAAGAAGCAUUAAGUGAACAAACAGAAUCGAAGUGACAGACUAGCAAAACAAAGGAGCGGAUGGGCGGCGAACAAUUUGCCACAUAGACGGCUGCACAGUCCGACCGACGAAGAGAAGACACAACCAACAAGCAAUAACGACGGUGUGCUGUUUGGCUAGCACCAAAGCAAACGCAAGCACAGAACAUCGAACGAACAAUGAAAGACACACACAAGGGAAUGGUGCAGAUGGGUUGGGUUGUUGGUGAGUUAGCUGGUGACUGUUUCGACAGCAACGAUUCAACCAACAGCCACUUUAACGAAAAAAAUUAAAUAAAUUAAAACACAAACAAAAAAUCCAAAGACAAGCAAACUUACGAAACAGAGUCAUCGACGAACUAGAAGACGGCUACAACGACGACGGCUAUACCCAGGGAACGACGAUGACUUAGCAACUACAUUCAACCCAACACACAAUACGAAGUCAAAGUCAGCAAAGCGGAUUCGAAAUUGUAUUGAAAAAUAUCAAAAAAAAAAACAUACACACUACAUACUUGGAAAUAUUGCUGAGCAAAGAGGAGCGUAAAGCAAAAAAAAAAAACGCUGUAGAAGCAAGCCAACGAAUGAACAAACGAACCAAAUAGAACCAGUGAGCACAGCACACACAAACAAAACACCAGUAACGAGUAAAAUAAUAAUACGACUUAUAAGAAAGAAAAACACAUUUUUUAAGCGAUAGCAAACUCAGCAACAGAAACAGAAAUCCAGCGCGAAAACAACGGCCAUAAUAAAAACAAAAACAA